rnacentral:RNase_P_RNA from 1 species
GCGGAUGGCUGGAUGACCGCGGGGCGCAAGUCUCGAGGAAAGUCCGGACUCCAUGAAGAAAGGGUGCCGGGUAACGCCCGGCGAGGGCAACCUCAGGGAAAGCGCCACAGAGAAAAGACUGCCGUGGUGUUCGGGUUCGCUCGGACGGAUCUGCGGCGAUGGUGAAACGGUGGGGUAAGAGCCCACCACGGACUUGGCAACAAGGACGGUAUGGCAAGCCCCACCCGGAGCAAUGCCGAAUAGGGGCCUCGCGUGGUAAGGUCCGCGACUGAAGCCGGCGCAAGCUGGCGGCGAUAGCGGAGACCACCACAGGGACCUUCAGCCCAGAGGCCCGGGUUGGCAGCUUGACUGCCCGUGGUAACACGGGUGGCAGAGGAAUGGUCAUCCAAGGGGCGUAAGCCCCGGGACAAAAUCCGGCUUACAGGCCGUCCGCGCAA